rnacentral:lncRNA from 1 species
AUCUUCUUCUUCUCUUUUCUUCCUAUGUGAGGACUGACUUUCUCCCCAGCUCAAUUCUUUCUUCCUUUCUCCAGGCAGCCAAACUGGCCAAUUAUGCCAAGUAUCAGCGGCUCUGUGACACCCUUUUUGUGAUCUUCAGUGCUGUUUUUAUGGUUACACGACUAGGAAUCUAUCCAUUCUGAACACAAGAACCCUAUUGCCCUGCUUUUACCUUAGCCUGUGCUGACCUUCUGUGGACUCUCACAGGACCUCUGCUGCCUCACACCGUAUUUCUAGCAAGGUCGGAUCCAGACUCAGAGUACCCGGCUUGGUUGGCUUCUCAGGACUGACUCAUCUCAGGAACAGUCCUCAUUUUAUGCCUAAGAUUCUGAACACGACCCUCUUUGAGAGCUGGGAGAUAAUCGGGCCUUAUGCUUCAUGGUGGCUCCUCAAUGGCCUGCUGCUGACCCUACAGGUUCUGCAUGUCAUCUGGUCCUACCUAAUUGCACGGAUUGCUUUGAAAGCCUUGAUCAGGGGAAAGGUGACCUGUCCAGGAAGGAUUAGACCCUGUACUCUCCAUUCUUUCCUCACCUCCUUCCUUUUUUCUAUGCCUGGCAGGAGCUGGACAGUUUCAUCUCUUGCAUGUAUCGAAGGAUGACCGCAGUGAUGUGGAGAGCAGCUCAGAGGAAGAAGAUGUGACCACCUGCACAAAAAGUCCCUGUGACAGUAGCUCCAGCAAUGGUGCCAAUCGGGUGAAUGGUCACAUGGGAGGCAGCUACUGGGCUGAAGAGUAAGGUGGUUGCUAUGGGGACUUCAGCACACAUGGACUUGUAGGGCCACUGGCAACAUACUCCUCUUGGCCCUUCCCAUAUCUACUCUUCUGUGAUUGGGAGACUGCAAGGCACUGAGGAGUAUCAAAGAAGCAAAUAUUUUCACUUUGAAAGAAAACUGCCAUUUUGUAUUUAAUAGUCUCCAGGUUCUUUCAGUAAUGUUAUUUGCUCUGUGUGUUUUUGUGUGUUUGUUGAUGUGCGUUUGUGCAUAUGCGUGAGUUUCAUUGCCGGGUUGGGGCACAAUUGUGGACUGGGGCCGUGAGGCCUUCCCUGGUCCCCACUGAACCCACCUUAGUUCCACAUUUGGCUGCAUCUUGAAUUAUGCCGACUCCAGACUGUCUCCUCCUUUUUUGCCCUUGGCUCUUGACACUCUAAACCCCUGGACCAUCUGAAUGGAGCAGUCAAGUGCAGUCCCAGAUUUCUGUACUGUUCCUCUUUCACAGCUGGAAUAUGUCACAUGAUGAAGUUGUAUAGAAACAGAACCAUGGAUGGAUGGCCAGGAUUGCCGUGGUCCCUAGCUAGAUCCCCUUCCUAUCAAUCACCUGAUAGCAACAGGGACAGCUGCCAAUACCCUGCUCUUUACUCAAUGGUACCCAGGGAGGGAGCAUGGGAAGAGGGUGAGCUGAGGGCUGGGGGAGGGCAAC